rnacentral:tRNA from 1 species
AACGAAAUAGUUUAAAUUAAAAGAAUUUUUGGUUUGCGUCCUUAGGGUGGAUGUUAUCCUUUCGUUG